GGAGGGUAUAGCUCAGUGGUAGAGCACAUGCCUAGCAUGCAUGAGGUCCUGAGUUCAAUCCCCAGUACCUCCA
rnacentral:tRNA from 1 species